AUCUGUCAGUCUCAGUUUCUCUGUUAUUUCCUAUUUUACGACUCCUGUUAGCCACAUUUCCAGAUCCCUAAAAAAUAAAAUAAAAGACCUUAUGCGAAUUUCUCCUAACAUACACAUUUUUACAAAGCCAUUUCCCGUAACAUAAUGCAUUUGUGUAUGCUAGUUUCACUGUGUGCAUUUUAAUGCGUCCUUUACCAUGGUAUAUACAGUGGUACCUCUACUUACGAACGCAAUCUGUUUUGGAGUGCCGUUUGCACCCUAAAAAGUCUGUAAGUUGAGUGCCGCUAAUGUGUGUGCACGAAGCGUGAUAGAGCACUUCUGUGCAUGCGCGCAGAUCGCGUCUGUGUGUGCACGCGCGGCGAACCCGGAAGUAAACACUUCUGGGCUUGCCGCGUUCGUAACCUGAAAAACUGCAACGUGAAGCAAACGUAACACAAGGUAUGACUGUACCUGAAAAGCACACUGCAAAAUUCAGAGAAUUGCAAAUGUCGAACAACAGCCGUGUUUCGUUUUGCGAAUCGUUUCAGAAAGUGUGCGUUUGGUAGGUUCACCUAUAAAUGCAAUCCGAACAGAAUUUAUUCCCCUGUCUCCACCUACGAACCUACAAGCAGUUCACCAUCCAACUCAGUGACAGCAGCUUAAAGGUUUUUAAAGGUUUCAUCUGAAAUUCAAGUUGCCCCAGAGGUUUUAAGUUUUCCCAGGCUCAAACAGAGGCUUUUUGGCAUUUGAAGAAGCUGGUUUGUGUUAACGGAAAGCUUCCUUCAUGGAGGUAGGGAUUGCAGACAGGCUCACAUAGAUGAAAUAGCUACUACUCCUCGAAAGCCAGCCAUCCUGACAAGAAAUGCAAGGUUUUCUGUCCCUUGUGAAAUGUAUAAAAUGGCUGCAGGCUGAAUGCUCUUGUUUGUGUAUGUGGCUGGUUUUAGUAUGAGCCUGUGUACCUCAAGACUGUGUGUUCUGUGUCAAUCUCGCACACAUCUAACAAAAAAUGGCAUUCUGUAGCCAGACCCGGGUUUCUGAUGAGUCACUUGGCUGAGUGGAAAGCCAAGAUAUGUACCCUUCAGCGACAUGAAAAGCCACAGAUAUUUUGCGGCAGAAAAGGAGGGAUCUUUCCCUCGAUGUACAGUAAGUGUUGCAAUUUGGGAGCCUUUGUAAAUAUACGGUGCAAUCCUUGACUUUCCUUGGCCUUAAAUAGAGUAAGGCCCAUGCCAAUGAGAUGCCUCAAUAAGUCAGUCAUUAUUCUUCAAAGCUGCAGCAUGAGAGAAAAUACGUCCUACUUUGAAAGGUUCUUUUUCAUUGAGAAGGCGGCCUCCUUAAGUUAGGAAUUUCUGGAAGGUGAAAAGUGUCCGAAACCAUUUUUUGACAAUCCAGUCCAAUAUAUUCUAGGGUGGGCAGCCUCCCUCCUCAUGCGUUGAGUGCUGAAGAACUUGUGGUGGGACGCCAACUCCCAUUAGCUUCAGCCUAGUACUGCUAGCUAGGGAUGAUGGGAGUUGUAGUCCAACAACAACCGAAGACCGUUUGAGAAACACUGAGCAUGUGGGAACCCUUUGGAAAGAUCAGAUGUUGGCUAGAACAAGAACCUGGUGCCUAUAGACUUGAGAAGAGUCUAACAUGAUGGCUCCGACCUGGUGGAAUGCUCUGUCCCAUGAGACCAGGGCCCUGCAGGAUUUAACUUCCUUCCUCAGGGCCUGUAAGACAGAGCUAUUUCGCCUGGUUUUCAAUUUGAACUUAGCCUGAUCUUUUAUUCCCCUUCCUUCCCCCCUCCCCUUUUUAUGAAGAUUACCCGCUCUGGGAUCCCACAGCUAAUUUUCCCCUGGUCUCCAUGCUGGCCCAAAUAGGACUAACUUAGCCAGCUAGCCCUAGUGAUCAUCUAAUGUUUAUUGGAUGGAUUUCCCCCCUAAUUUGAUUUUUGAAUUCUGAAUUUAUUGUUAUUCACGUUUCAUACUGUAUUUUAUGCUGUUUUUUGUUGCAUCAAUUAAGUGUUUUAAAUUUGUUGUUAGCCGCCCUGAGCACGGUUUUCUGAACCGGGAAGGGCAGGGUAUAAAUAAAAAUUUAUUAUUUAUUAUUAUUAUUAAUAUGGACCAGUGACUUGCAGGACCAGGCAUUGGACUUCCCAUGCCCCAACCCUUAUUGAGAGACCAAGGAGGCUGGUUUUGGGUCAAAACAGGCCACAACUUUAUUGAAUACCAAUGAAAGAGGUUUGGCUUGGGCAUGGGGCAGUCUAAAUACUUCCGGCUUGCUAAUGCCCCCUUUGCCCGUCAGGGAGGGCUCAGCCAGGUUGAAUUCCCCCGUCGGGGCCCCAGGGAAGCCGCCUCCAUCCUGCAAUGCCGCCGCACGUGAAAGGGUGAGCGGGUUUGUGGAGUGUAGAAGCAUCAGCAAGUAUUGACAUCCGGCACCUGUUUGGUCAGUGAAGCCAACCGCCAUCUUAGCUUUUCUGCUCUGCCCAAUGUGGCCUCGUUAUGGAGCAUUUUAAGAAAGGUAAAACUCAGAGGGAGGCACAACAGGGCCGCCUGACUCAAUUCACAGUGGUUCCUACCAGAAAAGGGCCCACUGCUGGGGAAUCUGUAACAUACAUUGUGUGGACUGGCGGAGUCCCCCCAACCCCAGGUGACCCCCGAGCGGAAUAAUGACUCAAGACAACGUGCUAUGAGAUUAAAAUUGGCCACAAUUUUAUUAAGUUUCAGAUUUAGGGAGACCUUGGUUCAGGCACUGGGCGUUUAUCCCUCCCAGUCCCCAGCUGGGGAUCUGGGGAACAUCAGGGUUAUCCAAAAUGUGUGGGGAUUGGGCUGACUUUGGAAAACGUAUGUUUAAGCAGAGAGCCCCCCCCCCAUUUCGCUGCAACGCAGGGGAGACCACUGACAACCUACCGGCGCAUGGCCAAUGACUCCCCUCAAACAACCCCUUUAAUGGGGGACCCUGGGAUCGCCGCCACAGGGGGGGGCGUGGGUCACCGCUUCAGGGCUGCCCUCCCCCCAUUUAGGGAAGAUAGACUAAAGGAUUCUGCCCAAGGCCUGAAACCGCCAAAGUUGUGAUGUUUUGCUACGGGAAAGGGAAACCUGCCAAUGCAGGGAAAUUCCUUCCCGGUCCUUUAACAGCAACCAAUGACAUAGCAGCGCCCGCGUACCUGUGGAGAAGAGGUUUACCUGCAAAAGAAGGCAUAACUGAGGGAGGGCAGGGUGGGAGAAGCUCUGGAGCCGACCAAGGACUCCCAGGUAAGUUCCACCCUCUAUUGUGUGGGCAGGGCAGUCCCAACCUACCUGGCCAGCUUCCCUGGCAAUGCCGCCCCUCCGCUGGGAUUGGUUAACUGAGGUUAGGUGGGAACCUCCAGGUAUCCAGCGUGGGAUUGGGCAAAGCCAGGUUGUAUUUUAGGGAGCCGCAUAGGAUAUAGGGGGGCUGUGCGCGACCACGCAAAAAACACCCCCAUUUGAUGUGGGGAACGCUCAUUGCUGCUUUGCCCAAUGUGGCCUCAUUAUGGAGCAUUAUAAGAAAGGUAAAACUCAGAGGCUUAGCUGUCAGCUUUUCCCUUUUUUAAGGGAAAUUCCCUUAUUCCGAAUAGGAUUCCUCGCAAGAAAAGGGAAAGGUUGACAGCUAUGCUCAGAGGGAGGCCCAACAGGGCCUGACUCAAUUCAUGGUGCUUCCUACCAGAAAGGGGUCCACUGCAAGCCUGGGGAAUCUGUAUACUAUAACCAAAACAGCAUUAUUAUUAUUUUUAAUGGACAAAUGCACACUUAAUUCUCAGUCACAUGGAUGUGAAACUUACUCUGAUCAAGGCGUGCAGUCGCAGUGUCAAAUGCAGGCUAGCUCUUUAAAGCGAAACAUAGCAGUAGUAUGUUCAGAGUUUAUUCCCAAGCUUGCUUGUUUAUAUUUUAAUUUGAAACUCCAAGUAUUCUUUUAAAAUGUUGACUGCAACAUUUUAAUAAUUGGGAAGGAGGCUAGCUAGAUAAACACAGACCUUUUUUAAAUCGAGGAUUCCUCUCUGCCAAUGCCAAGCUGUGGAUGCACAUCGUGUCAACUGGCUGAUGAAUAGAGCCCUUGCUCUGGGUGAGGUCCAGUUGGAAAUAUUUGAGGUUUUGAAAGCCGUCCAAGUCCUGGAAGGGUUUUAUAUCUUAGUUCACUGGCAGGCUGACUUAUACUGGGAAGGGAGGUGGGGAUGGGGCAUAGUAUGACCCAGCAAUUCUGUCUCCUUGCAUUUUAAUCUUGGUGCUUUUAAAUUUUAGUUUCGUCAGCAAUGUACUUUCUCUAAAACGCUUCUGUUGUGUUUGGAAAUCCAAGCAGAAUGGAACUCCACAGCCCCUGUGCAUUUAUGCGCAUUGGCUUAACCCGAUUAUUUUGCAUGACUUUAUAUGGGAAUUUUUGACACAAUUUAUUCUGAUUUUGUUAGCCGCUGGGGAGUGAGGGAAUUGCCCUGCCUUCUGAGAAUCUUAUUUAGCAGUCUCUUGGGUUGCUGUGGUUUCCAUAGGCAUUGCUGUCACACUUUCAAGCAUACCUUCAUGAGGCCCUGGAAACUUGCUUGGGGAGGGAAAUCCCUACAAACUAUGUAAGCAGAUACUGGCUGCAUUCAGACGUAAUGACAAACCGCAAUUUAGUGUUACGUGCAGUAGUAGCAGCACCAGGAGGAGGAGGAGGAGGAGCAGGCCUCAGACUCUUGUUUUCCCCCAGGACACAAGAGGAGAAUAGAAGCUUCUGGUUCAUUCAUGAGAAACCAUAGUUUGGAAUUGCCUACAAACCAUAGCUCCUGAGCACAGAAGAAGUUUUUAAUCUCCUCCCAUCAUGCACAGAGAAAGGGGGAGGAGGGAGCGUAUACACUGCUGCUUGUGCACGUUAUGGCAAGCCAUAGUUUGCCCCAACAUCUGAAUCAUUGUCUGAAACAGAAUUCUAUGCCCAGUACUGCAGCCUGUAUUUUUUCCCACCUGUGCUUGCAUGAAAUCUUGGAUUGAUUGAUUGAUUGAUUUCAUAUGCUACUGAGAGCCAGUAUGGUGUAGUGGUUAAGAGCGGUAGUCACGUAAUCUGGGGAACCGGGUUCGCUUCCCCGCUCCUCCACCUGCAGCUGCUGGGUGACCUUGGGCCAGUCACACUUCUCUGAAGUCUCUCAGCCCCACUCACCUCACAGAGUGUUUGUUGUGGGGGAGGAAGGGAAAGGAGAAUGUUAGCCGCUUUGAGACUCCUUAAAGGGAGUGAAAGGCGGGAUAUCAAAUCCAAACUCUUCUUCUUCUUCUUCUUCUACUCAUCCGACUGGGUUGCCCCAGCCACUUUGGGUGCCUCCC